rnacentral:pre_miRNA from 1 species
UUGUUACUCCCUCCGUCCGAAAAUACUUGUCAUCAAAAUGGACAAAAGGGGAUGUAUCUAGAACUAAAAUACAUCUAGAUACAUCCCCUUUUAUUCAUUUUGAUGACAAGUAUUUCCGGACGGAGGGAGUAGAUG